UACGUAGGGUGCGAGCGUUAAUCGGAUUUACUGGGCGUAAAGCGUGCGCAGGCGGCCCGUUAAGACAGGUGUGAAAUCCCUGGGCGCAACCUAGGAAUUGCGCUUGUGACUGGCGGGCUCGAGUACGGUAGAGGGGGGUGGAAUUCCUGGUGUAGCAGUGAAAUGCGUAGAGAUCAGGAGGAACACCGAUGGCGAAGGCAGCCCCCUGGGCCUGUACUGACGCUCAUGCACGAAAGCGUGGGGAGCAAACAGG
rnacentral:rRNA from 1 species